UUUUAAAAAAAUCAGAAAUCGGGGGUCAAAACGCAAUUUAAAAAUAUUGUGCCACGUCAGCAGCCACAUUAGCGGCCCACUCAGCAGCCCCGGCCAACAGGACGCGCCGCAUGGCAAGGAAACGCUGACCAGGGGACGGGCCACGUGGGCGAUCCGCGUGCGCGCGAUCGGACAGCCCAGAUCCGUUCUCACGCGUACGGACGGCCCAG
rnacentral:lncRNA from 1 species